CAGUUCAAGCUCCUGAUCCAGUUCCAGUCCCAGCCCAGUUCUGCUCCUGAUCUGGUUCUGGUCCCGAUCCGGUUCUGGUCCCAAUCCCAAUCCGGUUCUGGUCCCAAUUCGGUUCUGGUCCCAGUCCAGUUCUGGUCCCAGUCUGGUUCUGCACCUGAUCCGGUUCCAGUCCCAAUCCGGUUCCAGUCCCGAUCCAGCCCUGCUCCAGCUCCGGUUCUGGUCCCAGUUCUGGUUCCAGUCCCGAUCCAGUUCAGGCUGCUCAGGCUCCGUCCCCUGCCCCAGUUCCGACUCCCAGUUUUAUACUGGUAGCCCGGGGGCGAUGACAUCAGCAGCGCAUGUGACCCCCCCCUCAGCUCCCCCCAGUACCCAUCCCACCGCCCCUACUGGUGGCACUGGUGGCACUGGGACAGCCCCAGCUCCGCCAAGGUCGGGCCGAGGUCACUCCCAGUCGAUACUGGGAGGGUCCCAGUGCAGCCCCGAGGCCGUUUCCAUGAGGCACGGGGACGCGGGGACAUUGGGGACACGGGGACACGGGGAGCUGGCCGUGGUGGCCAUGGUGGCCCUGGCCCUGUCCUUGGUGGCCCUGGUGGCCCUGGGGGUGGUGUUGGUGGCCCUGGAGGUGUCCCUGCUGGCCCUGCUGGUGGUCAUGGUGGUGGCCUCAGAGGCGUCCUUGGUGGCCCUGCCCCUGUUCCUGGUGGCCCUGGUGGCCCUGAAGGUGGCAUUGGUGGCCAUGGAGGUGUCCUUGUGCCUGGUGGCCCUGCUAGUGGCCCUGGCCAUGGUGGCCCUGCUGGUGGCCAUGGUGGUGGCCUCAGAGGUGCCCUUGGUGGCCCUGCCCCUGUUCCUGGUGGCCCUGGUGGCUCUGCCCCUGGUGGCCCUGUCCUUGUCCUUGGUGGCCCUGGUGGCCCUGGAGGUGGUGUUGGUGGCCAAGAAGGUGGCCCUGGUGGCCCUGGAGGUGUACUUGGUGGCCAUGGUGGCCCUGGUGGCCCCAGAGGUGUCCUUGGUUGCCCUGCCCCUGUCCCUGUUCUUGGUGGCCCUGGUGGCCCUGGAGGUGGCGUUGGAGGCCAUGGAGGUGUCCCUGUUCCUGGUGGCCCUGUUGGUGGCCAUGUCCAUGUCUCUGCCCCUGGUGGCCCUGGCCCUGUCCUUGGUGGCCUUGGUGGCCCUGGGGGUGGUGUUGGUGGCCCUCGAGGUGUCCCUGGUGGCCCUGCUGGUGGCCCUGCCCUUGGUGGCUCUGGUGGCCCUGGUGGCCCUGUCCCUGUCCCUGGUGGCCCUGGGGGUGGCGUUGGUGGCCCCAGAGCUGCCCCUGGUGGCCCUGGAG
rnacentral:lncRNA from 1 species